UGCAAAGAUGGGUUGCGCUAAAUUUCCACAGGCUUCCAAAGGACUGCUCUCUCAGAUUCCAACAACUUGCAAAAAUCAUAUUUUAAGGUCUAGGACAGACUUGUGGUCUCGAUGAGAGAUGUUGCCCCUUGACCGUUUGCAGGUUCCUUGGAUCAGAAAAAGGAUACUUUUGUGCUGCUGAUUUGACUACAGCGAGCUUCGAUGAAGAGGGCAUCUUAGUAACCACGGGAAUAACAGUCAUGACCAUUAUAUUCAUUCUAUUUUUCACUUGUUUUAUUAUUUGGUGCACGAAGAAACGUAGGGAGAUGAAUGAAUUAUUACAGAGCUCUGAAAGCGGUGCCAAUAAUAACAAUGAAAAUGGCCCCGCAACUGAUGAAACGAUAUCAAGACCAAUGGAACGAGCCCUUGGUAGAAUGAUGAUGAGGCAAACAAACAACAGCACUACAAGCAAUCAAGAACCACGAAGGCAGACGACCAGGUCUGAUGGCCCAAGACGGGAUCCUCCGCCAAGUUAUACCGACGUUUUGAAUGAUUCACCGGAACUGCCUUCUUACAACGAAGCUUUGGCCAAUGAAUAUGGGACUGACUGAACAGAAGGGAAUCACAGUUUAGAAUUUUUUAAACUCUCUAUUGAUAUUUUAUUAAACGGACUUGGUGAAAUACAGA